UUUUUUUUUUUUUUUUUUUUUUUUUUUUUUUUUUUC
rnacentral:ribozyme from 3 species